AUUGAACGCUGGCGGAAUGCUUUACACAUGCAAGUCGAACGGCAGCACGGGGCAACCUGGUGGCGAGUGGCGAACGGGUGAGUAAUACAUCGGAACGUGCCCAAUCGUGGGGGAUAACGUAGCGAAAGUUACGCUAAUACCGCAUACGAUCUACGGAUGAAAGCGGGGGAUCGCAAGACCUCGCGCGAAUGGAGCGGCCGAUGGCAGAUUAGGUAGUUGGUGGGGUAAGGGCUCACCAAGCCAACGAUCUGUAGCUGGUCUGAGAGGACGACCAGCCACACUGGGACUGAGACACGGCCCAGACUCCUACGGGAGGCAGCAGUGGGGAAUUUUGGACAAUGGGCGCAAGCCUGAUCCAGCCAUUCCGCGUGCAGGAUGAAGGCCUUCGGGUUGUAAACUGCUUUUGUACGGAACGAAACGGUUCUCUCUAAUACAGGGGGCUAAUGGCGGUACCGUAAGAAUAAGCACCGGCUAACUACGUGCCAGCCGCCGCCGUAACAC
rnacentral:rRNA from 1 species